rnacentral:rRNA from 1 species
GAUGAACGCUGGCGGCGUGCCUAACACAUGCAAGUCGAACGGGGAUAGGAUGAAACCUAGUGAUUCCUAUUCUAGUGGCGGACGGGUGAGUAACGCGUGGAUAACCUGCCUUGUACAGGGGGAUAACACCUGGAAACAGGUGCUAAGACCGCAUAAGCGCACAGUCCCGCAUGGGACAGUGUGAAAAACUCCGGUGGUACAAGAUGGAUCCGCGUCUGAUUAGCCAGGUGGCGGGGUAACGGCCCACCAAAGCGACGAUCAGUAGCCGGCCUGAGAGGGUGAACGGCCACAUUGGGACUGAGACACGGCCCAA